CAAAACGCAUCCCCAAUUUGUUUUCCCGGAAAAUCCCAGCAGCUUCUAGACACCCUGACGCCUUCUCUCUCUGUGGACUACAUCCCAAAUCUCCGUAGAUGUCAACCUCGGGGCAGCCUCAAUUUCGAUACACGCAAACCCCAUCAAAGGUUUUGCAUCUGCGGAAUCUUCCGUGGGAAUGCACGGAGGAGGAGCUAAUUGAGCUCUGUAAACCGUUCGGAAAAAUUGUCAACACUAAGUGCAAUGUCGGCGCCAAUCGGAAUCAAGCUUUUGUCGAAUUUGCAGACCUAAAUCAGGCAAUUCAAAUGGUUUCAUACUAUGCAUCAUCAUCUGAGCCUGCACAGGUUCGUGGUAAGACGGUGUAUAUUCAAUACUCAAACAGGCAUGAAAUUGUCAACAACAAAAGUCCAGGUGAUGUUCCUGGAAAUGUUUUGCUGGUAACAAUCGAGGGUGUUGAAGCUGGUGAUGUGAGCAUUGAUGUCAUUCACUUGGUAUUUUCUGCUUUUGGCUUUGUGCACAAAAUUGCUACUUUUGAAAAGGCUGCUGGUUUCCAGGCACUUAUUCAAUUCACUGAUGCGGAGACUGCAUCUACUGCAAGGGUUGCCUUGGAUGGAAGAAGUAUACCGAGGUACUUGCUUCCGGAGCAUGUUGGUUCAUGUCACCUGCGCAUAUCCUAUUCUGC
rnacentral:misc_RNA from 1 species